AUUGAACGCUGGCGGCAGGCUUAACACAUGCAAGUCGAGCGGGGUGAUGGUGCUUGCACUACCACUUAGCGGCGGACGGGUGAGUAAUGCUUAGGAAUCUGCCUUUCGGUACGGGAUAACGUCGGGAAACUGACGCUAAUACCGUAUAUGUCUUUGGAUGAAAGAUUUAUUGACGGAAGAGGGGCCCGCGUCAGAUUAGGUAGUUGGUGAGGAAACGGCUCACCAAGCCUUCGAUCAGUAGCUGGUCUGAGAGGAUGAUCCGCCACACUGGGACUGGGGCACGGCACAGACUCCGACGGGAGGCAGCAGUGGGGAAUAUUGAACAAUGGGCGCAAUCCUGAUCCAGCAAUGCCGCGUGAGUGAUGAAGGCCUUCGGGUUGUAAAGCUCUUUUGCCUGCGACGAUGAUGACGGUAGCAGGAGAAUAAGCCCCGGCUAACUUCGUGCCAGCCGCCGCGGUAA
rnacentral:rRNA from 1 species